UGCUGCUGCCCGUCACGGCGGCGGCUCCGCUCUGCUCAGCGGCCCGGCCUGGCAACGGGAGCGGUCUUACAACUCAGCAGCAGUUCUCCUGCAGGAGCUGGCAGCACGUGGCUUGGACAGCACUUGGCCAUUAUUCCUGGACACCUGCUGUCCUGGGAUAGAGAAUCGCAGAAUCGCAGAAUCAUUUGAGUUGGAAUGGACUGCUAAGACCAUCUGGUCCAACUGCCCUGCGGUGAACAGGGACACCUACAGCUCCAUCAGGCGCUCAGAGCUCCUUCCAGCCUGACCUUGGGUGUCUGCAGUGAUGGGGGAUCCACCACCUCUUUGGGCAGUCUGUGCCACUGCCUCACCACUCUUAUUGUAAAAAAAACUUCUUUUAAAAAAAACACUGGCUUGGGUUAGUACAGUUAAGGUAGAUUGUUUAAAUACAAUGCAGUGAUAGCCUCCAGGUUCUCCUGCAACUCCACUGAUGCUUCUUAAUAUUUCCACUACAGCUGUACUGGAAUUUUUGAUACCCACAUAUAGUGACCAGAGUCUAAAGUUCCAAGUGUACAAAUUACUUCUUUGAAUUAAUCCAUUUGAAAGAAAACAUCUUCCCUUAAUUUGCCAGAAAACUUAGCUGUUUUGAAGCAUCUGAAAUGUUUAGUGCUAAUUUCUGCUAUGUAAUUCUUAAAUCCUUCCUCUCCUGCCCUGCAGGAUGUCAUGAGAACACCUGCUUUGUUAGCUAGGAUCGCCUGUUUCGCAUACACUGUCUCAGCUGUCAAAAUGAUGAAAAGUAAAUCCUUCUGCUGAGGUUCAUAAGAAAAACAUAGCGUUUCAGGCAUGAAAGAGCUUUUUGAUUUACAUCAGGUUUUUAAUUAUUGCAAUAUUUUAAAAAGAUAGAGAUGGUAAGCAAACAAAAUCAGUCUGUCCAGAAGUUAUGGGAAAAAAAAAAUACUCUGCUUUGGAUGUCGUAUACUCUGUUCAUUUAAGCAAUAGCAUAACUGAGUCUCUACAAAUAAAUAAAUAAAUAAAUAAAGUUUUGUGGUUUGUUGGGUGUUUUAUUUAUUUCUUUAUUGGUUUAAUCUAAUGAAAAAUACUGUUGCUGACCUGUGAUAUCUUUUUACUGUCAAUUGCACAUGAUAGCACUGGAUGGAUAAUCACAAAGCAAUUAGUGUACAGUAGAAAAGAAUGCAUCCAAAGAUUUCAAAUCAUAAAAAUAAAUUGUUCUAAAGGCUUAAAUAAUACUGCUACUUUUCUUUGAGUAAAUAUAAUGGUGCUUUAAUUGUACUAUUUGCAAAAAUGUUUUGUGGUACCUUGUGCCUUUCUAAUAUCUGACUGUAUUCAUAUACUGCCUGAGCAAUU